GGGGGGGGCAAGCGUUGUUCGGAAUUACUGGGCGUAAAGGGUGCGUAGGCGGCUCUCUAAGUCGGAUGUGAAAACUCUGGGCUCAACCCAGAGCCUGCAUCUGAAACUGGAGGGCUAGGGUGCUGGAGGGGAAAGCGGAAUUCCUGGUGUAGCGGUGAAAUGCGUAGAUAUCAGGAGGAACACCGGUGGCGAAGGCGGCUUUCUGGACAGUAACCGACGCUGAGGCACGAAAGCUAGGGGAGCAAACAGGAUUAGAUACCCUGGUAGUCCUAGCCCUAAACUAUGGAUACUUGCUGUGGGGGGGAUUGAAGCCCCUUGUGGCGAAGCUAACGCAUUAAGUAUCCCGCCUGGGGAGUACGGUCGCAAGGCUGAA
rnacentral:rRNA from 1 species